AAACCAAGAAAUUUAGUCAUUUUUUUCGGUAAAAAGACAGUUAGGCAAAAGAAAAAUCAUCAGAUCUUUAGUAUAGGGGUAAAAUCCAAGUACUAGAAGCUAUUCCUAGUAUGGUUUAUUUUAAAAGCUGAAUCUGUGACAACUUUAAGGGAAACUGGGAUUGGAUACCCCAUUAUUUUUAGUAAUAAAUUCGAUCUAAAUAUACCAGAGUACUACGAAUAAAAAAUUUAAAACUCAAAGAGCUUGGCGGUGUUUUAGACCUCUCAGGGGAACCUGUCUCAUAAUCGACAAUCCGCGCUAGACCCGACCUUCUAUAGCAAUUCAGCUUGUAUACCGUCGUCGUCAGGUAACUUCUUAAAAUAUAGUAGUUAGCUUGAGAAUCAUAUUAAUUAAUACGUCAGAUCAAGGUGCAGCUUAUAAGAAGGAGAGGAUGGGUUACAAUUAUAAAUUUAUAACUACGGAAGACAUUCAAAACAGAAUAUCUGAAGGAGGACUUGAAAGUAAUUCUGACUAUAUAAAUAGAAUGAAUAAGGCUCUGAAACGUG
rnacentral:rRNA from 1 species